GAUGAACGCUGGCGGCGUGCCUAACACAUGCAAGUCGAACGGAGUCCCGCCUUUAAGAUCUUCGGGUCGAAGGGGGGAAGAGUGAGUGACGGACGGGUGAGUAACACGUGGGCAACCUGGCUCAUAGAGGGGGAUAACAGAGAGAAAUUUCUGCUAAUACCGCAUAAGCACACACUGCCGCAUGUCAGAGGGUGAAAAGAGCAUCGCUAUGAGAUGGACCCGCGUCUGAGUAGCCAGUUGGCAGGGUAAGAGCCUACCAAAGCGACGAUCAGUAGCCGAUCUGAGGGGAUGCACCGCCACGUUGGGACUGAGACACGGACUACACUCCUACGCGAGGGAGCAGUGGAGGAUAUUGCAGAAUGGAGGGAAAGCUGAUGCCGCCACGUCGCGUGAGUGAACAAUCAUUUCGGUAUGCAAAGCUGUCUCAGCAGGGAAGAGAAUGACGGUACCUGAAUAAGAAGCCCCGGCUAACUACGUG
rnacentral:rRNA from 1 species